rnacentral:rRNA from 1 species
CCUACGGGGUGCAGCAGUGGGGGAUAUUGGACAAUGGGGGAAACCCUGAUGCAGCGACGCCGCGUGUGGGAAGACGGUCCUCUGGAUUGUAAACCACUGUCCUCAGGGACGAAGAUGACGGUACCUGGGGAGGAUGCUUCGGCUAACUACGUGCCAGCAGCCGCGGUAAUACGUAGGGAGCGAGCGUUGUCCGGAAUUACUGGGUGUAAAGGGAGCGUAGGCGGGACUGCAAGUUGGGGGUCAAAUCUACCGGCUCAACCGGUAGCCGCAGUUAAAACUGCAGUUCUUGAGUGAAGUAGAGGCAGGCGGAAUGCGUGGUGUAGCGGUGAAAUGCAUAGAUAUUAGGAAGAACACCAGUGGCGAAGGCGGCCUGCUGGGCUUUUACUGACGCUGAGGCUCGAAAGUGUGGGGAGCAAACAGGAUUAGAUACCCCUGUAGUC